UACGUAGGGCGCAAGCGUUAUCCGGAAUUAUUGGGCGUAAAGAGCUCGUAGGCGGUUUGUCGCGUCUGCUGUGAAAACCCGAGGCUCAACCUCGGGCCUGCAGUGGGUACGGGCAGACUAGAGUGCGGUAGGGGAGAUUGGAAUUCCUGGUGUAGCGGUGGAAUGCGCAGAUAUCAGGAGGAACACCAGUGGCGAAGGCGCUCGUGG
rnacentral:rRNA from 1 species